rnacentral:rRNA from 1 species
AGAGUUUGAUCAUGGCUCAGGAUGAACGCUAGCGGCAGGCUUAAUACAUGCAAGUCGAGGGGCAGCGCAGCUAGCAAUAGUGGGCGGCGACCGGCAAACGGGUGCGGAACACGUACGCAACCUUCCCAGAACUGGUGAAUAGCCUUCCGAAAGGGAGAUUAAUACACCGUAACUUAAUUGAGUGGCAUCACUUGGUUAAUAUAGCUCCGGCGGUUCUGGAUGGGCGUGCGCCUGAUUAGGUAGUUGGCGGGGUAACGGCCCACCAAGCCUGCGAUCAGUAACUGGUGUGAGAGCACGACCAGUCACACGGGCACUGAGACACGGGCCCGACUCCUACGGGAGGCAGCAGUAAGGAAUAUUGGUCAAUGGACGCAAGUCUGAACCAGCCAUGCCGCGUGAAGGAUGAAGGCCCUCUGGGUUGUAAACUUCUUUUACAGGGGACGAAAAAGGGUCUUUCCAGAUCAACUGACGGUACCCUGGAAUAAG